rnacentral:tRNA from 1 species
GCCCGGGUGGCGGAAUAGGUAGACGCAAGGGACUUAAAAUCCCUCGGAUGAAUAGUCCGUGCCGGUUCGAGUCCGGCCCCGGGCACCA